GUGGAUUAGAUACCCUGGUAGUCCGCACUGUAAACGAUGAUUACUCGCUGCUAGAGGGCAACCUUUAGUGGCUUAGCGAAAGCGAUAAGUAAUCCACCUGGGGAGUACGCCGGCAACGGUGAAACUCAAAGGAAUUGACGGGGGCCCGCACAAGCGGAGGAGCAUGUGGUUUAAUUCGAUGAUACGCGAGGAACCUUACCAGGGCUUGAAAGUUAGGGAAUGAAUCUGAAAGGAUUCAGUCAGCAAUGACCCGAAACUAGGUGCUGCACGGCCGUCGCCAACU
rnacentral:rRNA from 1 species